rnacentral:tRNA from 1 species
GGGGUUAGAUUUUCUAAAGAAUUGCAAAUUCUUUAUUAUGGUUAACCAACCAUUAGCCCUU